GGGCGAGUGCUGAAAUUGGUAUACAGCUUGGACUGAGGCUCCAAGGGGAUAUUUUCCCGUGUGGGUUCAAGUCCCAUCUCGCCCA
rnacentral:tRNA from 1 species